UUCGGCGCCUUAACUCUCUCUCUCUCAAUCUCUUUCUCGAUUCUAUCUCAGACUCACUCAAAUUUGGGCUCCUGUCUCUCGAUUCUCUCAAGCUCAUAUGUCACUCUCUUGCACUGUCUUUAUCUCAGACUCACUAUCUCAAGCUCAUCUCUCCCUUUCUCGCAGUCUCUCUGUCACUCCCCCUUUUGCAUCCGUAGCACUUCGACGCCACACCCUCUCCUUGCCGCCGCCACAACAUUACUAGCUGGAUGUGGCAUCUGUGGAAGGCAAGGAUUUCUGCGAGUAUUGGCAGAUGCUCUGUGCCCGGUUUCGUGGUAAUGACCGAAGGGAGGAACUGAUGCAGGAGUGUGUGUUUAUCAUGUGGUGCAUAUGGAAGAGCAGGAAUGAAAUGGUGUUUAAGGGAAUCUUGGCUAAUCCCAUGGAGAUGGUGAAUUUGGUAAGGGGUCAUAUCUUGGAGUUUAGAGCUGGGCAAUGCAAUAAGCGGAGUGAAGAUGGUGGUGCCACGGAGGGGAGUGUUGACAGCUUUGCAGGGUUACGGGUUCGAUGGAAGAGGCCUCCUUUUGGGGUGAUGAAGAUCAAUUGUGAUGGUGCAUGGUGUGGAAAGACAUGCAAGGGUAGUUAUGGAUGGGUUUUGCAGGAUUUCGCUGGCUUGUUGCAAGCUGCUGGUGGGGAAGGGGGGUUAUUCUUUAACUCGGCAGCAAUGGCAGAAGCUGCUGCUAUCCGUGUAGCUUUGCGGGUCUGUUGCGAGCUGGGUUAUGCGGAUGUGGAACUUGAAUCUGAUUCUUAGGUUCUUAUUCGAAUGCUUACGGGAGAGUACAUGAUCGAUGCUACUUUGGAAUGCGUUAUUCAUGAUAUACCUCUUCUGGUAUCUCAAUUUUGAAGGGUGAGGUUUGGUUUUGUUAAGCGGUGUGGAAAUGCUGCUGCGCAUGCCGUGGCCUCAUAUGUGGCCUCACAUGAAGGUGCUUUUCGUUGGGAUGCAAUUGGUCAGAUGUCGAACUUAAUAUCAAACCAGCGAGCAGUUAGUAGGGGUAGCUAGACACCUUCUCUGGGAGGUAAUGUUGCUGCCACCUCCACACCUGAUAUGGGCACGACAGGUGUCCUUCUGGUCACGCCAUUGGGGCCAAUGGUGUCUACGGUUCAUGCGUCAUCAAAUUCUUCGGUGAUGCAUCCUAUCUUAAGCGCCUAACAGACUCAUCGACGGCCCUGGAGUUCUGAGGAGGCUCAACCGUCUGGUGAGGCUUCCUCUGUCCAUGGAGAGGGGUCCCAGAUAGGUAAGCUUGCUCUGUCCAUUGAUAUGCCUGCUUCUGGUUCCAUCUUUAUUCAUAGCCAUAAUGAUAUGUUCCUUACAAAUAUAUGAGUGGCACAUGUGGUUUGUAAUAUUUUCUCAAGUUUUGGCUUGCAAAUUGACUGCAAACAAUAAUUCAGAAUAGUCUCCAUUAUUCGGUCGAAUAAGAAGCUUCUUAACUGAUCCGAUUCACGAUGCU